UACGUAGGGUGCGAGCGUUAAUCGGAAUUACUGGGCGUAAAGGGUGCGCAGGCGGUUAUAUAAGACAGAUGUGAAAUCCCCGGGCUCAACCUGGGAACUGCGUUUGUGACUGUAUGACUAGAGUACGGUAGAGAGGGGUGGAAUUCCUGGUGUAGCAGUGAAAUGCGUAGAUAUCAGGAGGAACAUCGAUGGCGAAGGCAGCCCCCUGGGCUAGUACUGACGCUCAUGCACAAAAGCGUGGGGAGCAAACAGG
rnacentral:rRNA from 1 species